GAUGAAGAACGCAGCGAAAUGCGAUAAGUAUUGUGAAUUGCAGAAUCCAGUGAAUCAUCGAAUCUUUGAACGCACAUUGCGCCCGCCAGCAUUCUGGCGGGCAUGCCUGUUCGAGCGUCAUUUCAACCCUCGACCUCCCCUUGGGGAGGUCGGCGUUGGGGACCGGCAGCACACCGCCGGCCCUGAAAUGGAGUGGCGGCCCGUCCGCGGCGACCUCUGCGCAGUAAUACAGCUCGCACCGGGACCCCGACGCGGCCACGCCGUAAAACACCCAACUUCUGAACGUUGACCUCGAAUCAGGUAGGACUACCCGCUGAACUUAAGCAUAUCAAUAAGCGGAGGA
rnacentral:misc_RNA from 1 species